rnacentral:rRNA from 1 species
AUGCCAGUCCAACUGCCGAUUGUCAAUAUCUUGGCCAUUGAUUUCCAGUUUGGAGCCGCCAAGGAAGAAAGGAUGGCGCUAUCAUUUCUAACAUGCUUUCCAAGAAUUCAGAUAUUGCAUAUCAAGAAUGGCGGAUCUCUAUUCAAAACCUCUGUUGACAGUGAUGGCACAUUAUGGAAGAAGAAAAUAGAUCCCAUCAAAUGUGUGAAAUCAACCAUUGAGAAGCUCGUAUUGCAUGGUUUCUGUGGGGGUGAUAGCGAACUAUCAUUUUUUAAGUCCAUUUUGAAAAGUGCGAACAUGCUCAAGGAGAUUUGCAUUCUCUUCUCUCGGAUGAUGUAUGUUCUGCCGGCUUGGAAACUGAUACAGAAGAAAUAUGGAAAAGGGCUGCCGCUUCGGUUGAAUUAG